AARGGAAUUGACGGGGACCCGCMCAASCAGUGGAGUAUGUGGUUUAAUUYGAAGCAACGCGAAGAACCUUACCAGGUCUUGACAUCCYUCUGACCGUCCUAGAGAUAGGGCUUUCCUUCGGGACAGAGGAGACAGGUGGUGCAUGGUUGUCGUCAGCUCGUGUCGUGAGAUGUUGGGUUAAGUCCCGCAACGAGCGCAACCCUUGAUCUUAGUUGCCAGCACUUUGGGUGGGCACUCUAGGAUGACUGCCGGUGACAAACCGGAGGAAGGUGGGGAUGACGUCAAAUCAUCAUGCCCCUUAUGACCUGGGCUACACACGUACUACAAUGGCCGAUACAACGGGAAGCGAAACCGCGAGGUGGAGCCAAUCCUAUCAAAGUCGGUCUCAGUUCGGAUUGCAGGCUGCAACUCGCCUGCAUGAAGUCGGAAUUGCUAGUAAUCGCGGAUCAGCAUGCCGCGGUGAAUACGUUCCCGGGUCUUGUACACACCGCCCGUCACACCACGAGAGUUUACAACACCCGAAGCCGGUGGGGUAACCGCAAGGAGCCAGCCGUCGAAGGUGGGGUAGAUGAUUGGGGUGAAGUCGUAACAAGGUAGCCGUAUCGGAAGGUGCGGCUGGAUC
rnacentral:rRNA from 1 species